GGGGCUAUAGCUCAGACGGUUAGAGCGCUUCCCUGAUAAGGAAGAGGUCCCAGGUUCAAGUCCUGGUAGCCCCACCA
rnacentral:tRNA from 18 species